rfam:Candida arabinofermentans NRRL YB-2248 unplaced genomic scaffold CANARscaffold_16, whole genome shotgun sequence.
AGCACCGUGGCGCAGUGGAAGCGCGCAGGGCUCAUAACCCUGAUGUCGCUGGAUCGAAACCAGCCGGUGCUA